rnacentral:ncRNA from 1 species
AAAGACUUAGUCCUAACCUUACCGUUAAUUCUUGCUAGACAUAUACAUGCAAGUAUCAGCGCUCCAGUGUAAAUGCCCCGGACGUCUUAUCAAGGCCCAGGGAGCGGGUAUCAGGCGCACUCACAGUCGUAGCCCAAGACGCCUUGUUCAGCCACACCCCCACGGGUAUUCAGCAGUAAUUAACAUUAAGCAAUGAGUGUAAACUUGACUUAGUCAUAGCAAUCCUCAGGGUCGGUCAAUCUUGUGCCAGCCACUGCGGUCAUACAAGAAACCCAAAUUAACCGUAACACGGCGUAAAGCGUGACACCAUGUUAUCCUCACAACUAGGAUCAAAAUGCAACUGAGCUGUCAUAAGCCUAUGCUGCACGCAAAACCAACCUGAAAACGAUCCUAGCCUCAAUGAUCAAUUAACCGUCACGAAAGCUAGAAUACAAACUGGGAUUAGAUACCCCACUAUGCCUAGCCCUAAAUCUUGAUACUUUCCCCACUAAAGUAUUCGCCAGAGAACUACGAGCACAAACGCUUAAAACUCUAAGGACUUGGCGGUGCUCCAAACCCACUAGAGGAGCCUGUUCUAUAAUCGAUUACCCAAGAAUCACACUCGGACGAGUCUUGCCAAGGCAGCUUACAUACGGCGGUCGCCAGUUCACCUCUCCUGAGAGAACAAUAGUGAACACAAUAGCCCCAUCCGCUAUACAGACAGGUCAAGGUAUAGCCCAUGGAGUGGAAGAAAUGGGCUACAUUUUCUAUAAUUGAAAAUCUCGGAAAGAGGUAUAAACCACCUCUGGAAGGUGGAUUUGGCAGUUAAAGCAGUCAAUAGAGCCACCUUUAAGCCGGCCCUGGAGCACGUACAUACCGCCCGUCACCCUCCUCAAAAAGCUAACCUCCCAGCAUACCUAAUACAAUAGCCAGCUAGAGAUGAGGUAAGUCGUAACAAGGUAAGUGUACCGGAAGGUGUACUUAGCAUAC